UAGGGAAUCUUCCGCAAUGGACGAAAGUCUGACGGAGCAACGCCGCGUGAGUGAAGAAGGAUUUCGGUUCGUAAAACUCUGUUGUUAGGGAAGAAAAAAUGUAUAGUAACUAUAUACAAAAGAGACGGUACCUAACCAGAAAGCCACGGCUAACUACGUGCUAGCAGCCGCGGUAAUACGUAGGUGGCAAGCGUUGUCCGGAAUUAUUGGGCGUAAAGCGCGCGCAGGUGGUUUAGAAAGUCUGAUGUGAAAGCCCACGGCUCAACCGUGGAGGGUCAUUGGAAACUAAUAAGCUUGAGUGCAGGAGAGAAAAGUGGAAUUCCUAGUGUAGCGGUGAAAUGCGUAGAGAUUAGGAGGAACACAGGUAGCGAAAGCGGCUUUUUGGCCUGCAACUGACACUGAGGCGCGAAAGCGUGGGGAGCAAACAGG
rnacentral:rRNA from 1 species